rnacentral:rRNA from 1 species
UACGUAGGGUGCAAGCGUUGUCCGGAAUUAUUGGGCGUAAAGAGCUCGUAGGCGGUUUGUCGCGUCUGCUGUGAAAACCUAGGGCUUAACUCUGGGCGUGCAGUGGGUACGGGCAGGCUAGAGUGCGGUAGGGGAGACCGGAAUUCCUGGUGUAGCGGUGAAAUGCGCAGAUAUCAGGAGGAACACCGGUGGCGAAGGCGGGUCUCUGGGCCGUAACUGACGCUGAGGCACGAAAGCGUGGGGAGCAAACAGG